rnacentral:rRNA from 1 species
ACGGAAGGCAGCAGUGGGGAAUAUUGCGCAAUGGGCGAAAGCCUGACGCAGCGACGCCGCGUGGAGGAAGAAGGUUUUCGGAUUGUAAACUCCUGUCGGAAGGAACGAAUGAAUCGGUGGUCAAUAACCACCGGAAGUGACGGUACCUUCAAAGGAAGCACCGGCUAACUCUGUGCCAGCAGCCGCGGUAAGACAGAGGGUGCAAGCGUUGCUCGGAAUUACUGGGCGUAAAGGGCGCGUAGGCUGAUUUGUAAGUUGGAUGUGAAAUACCGGGAGUUAAACCCGGAACUGCAUUCAAGACUGCAGGUCUGGAGUAUCGGAGAGGGAACUGGAAUUCCUGGUGUAGAGGUGAAAUGCGUAGAUAUUAGGAGGAAUACCAGUGGCGAAGGCGGCUUACUGGACUGUGACUGACGUUGAGGCUCGAAAGCGUGGGGAGCAAACAGGAUUAGAUACCCUGGUA